UCAGUUUGGUUUGCUUGCAAACCAAAGCUGGCGACCGGCGCACGGGUGAGUAACACGUAUCCAACCUGCCUCAUACUCGGGGAUAGCCUUUCGAAAGAAAGAUUAAUAUCCGAUAGCAUAUAUUUCCCGCAUGGGUUUUAUAUUAAAGAAAUUCGGUAUGAGAUGGGGAUGCGUUCCAUUAGUUUGUUGGCGGGGUAACGGCCCACCAAGACUACGAUGGAUAGGGGUUCUGAGAGGAAGGUCCCCCACAUUGGAACUGAGACACGGUCCAAACUCCUACGGGAGGCAGCAGUGAGGAAUAUUGGUCAAUGGACGCGAGUCUGAACCAGCCAAGUAGCGUGAAGGAUGACUGCCCUAUGGGUUGUAAACUUCUUUUAUAUGGGAAUAAAGUGGUCCACGUGUGGAUUUUUGUAUGUACCAUAUGAAUAAGGAUCGGCUAACUCCGUGCCAGCAGCCGCGGUAAUACGGAGGAUCCGAGCGUUAUCCGGAUUUAUUGGGUUUAAAGGGAGCGUAGGCGGAUUGUUAAGUCAGUUGUGAAAGUUUGCGGCUCAACCGUAAAAUUGCAGUUGAUACUGGCAGUCUUGAGUGCAGUAGAGGUGGGCGGAAUUCGUGGUGUAGCGGUGAAAUGCUUAGAUAUCACGAAGAACUCCGAUUGCGAAGGCA
rnacentral:rRNA from 1 species